rnacentral:rRNA from 1 species
UACAGAGGGGGCAAGCGUUAUUCGGAAUUAUUGGGCGUAAAGGGCGCGUAGGCGGCUUGGCAAGUGGAUGGUGAAAUCCCUCGGCUUAACCGAGGAACUGCCAUCCAGACUGCUUUGCUUGAGGCUGGGAGAGGUGAGUGGAAUUCCCAGUGUAGCGGUGAAAUGCGUAGAUAUUGGGAGGAACACCAGUGGCGAAGGCGGCUCACUGGACCGGUUCUGACGCUGAGGCGCGAAAGCGUGGGGAGCGAACAGG